rnacentral:rRNA from 1 species
GAUGAACGCUGACAGAAUGCUUAACACAUGCGAGUCUACUUGAACUUCGGUUUGGGUGGCGGACAGGUGAGUAACGCGUAAAGAACUUGCCUCACAGAUAGGGACAACAUUUGGAAACGAAUGCUAAUACCUGAUAUUAUGAUUUUAGGGCAUCCUAGAAUUAUGAAAGCUAUAUGCACUGUGAGAGAGCUUUGCGUCCCAUUAGCUAGUUGGAGAGGUAACGGCUCACCAAGGCGAUGAUGGGUAGCCGGCCUGAGAGGGUGAUCGGCCACAAGGGGACUGAGACACGGCCCUUACUCCUACGGGAGGCAGCAGUGGGGAAUAUUGGACAAUGGACCAAGAGUCUGAUCCAGCAAUUCUGUGUGCACGAUGAAGUUUUUCGGAAUGUAAAGUGCUUUCAGUUGGGAAGAAAAAAAUGACGGUACCAACAGAAGAAGUGACGGCUAAAUACGUG